CAGUCGCCGCGGUAAUACAGAGGGUGCAAGCGUUAAUCGGAAUUACUGGGCGUAAAGCGCGCGUAGGUGGUUCGCCAAGUUGGAUGUGAAAUCCCCGGGCUCAACCUGGGAACUGCAUCCAAAACUGGCGAGCUAGAGUAUGGUAGAGGGUGGUGGAAUUUCCUGUGUAGCGGUGAAAUGCGUAGAUAUAGGAAGGAACACCAGUGGCGAAGGCGACCACCUGGACUGAUACUGACACUGAGGUGCGAAAGCGUGGGGAGCAAACAGGAUUAGAUACCCCCGUAGUCCCUGUCUCUUAUAC
rnacentral:rRNA from 1 species